UACGGAGGGUGCAAGCGUUGCUCGGAAUUAUUGGGCGUAAAGGGUAGGUAGGUGGUCUCAUUUGUCUGGGGUGAAAGCCUUGAGCUUAACUCAAGAAGUGCCUCAGAAACGGUGAGACUAGAGUGCUGGAGAGGGUCGUGGAAUUCCCGGUGUAGCGGUGAAAUGCGUAGAGAUCGGGAGGAACACCAGAGGCGAAGGCGGCGACCUGGACAGUGACUGACACUCAACUACGAAAGCGUGGGGAGCAAACAGG
rnacentral:rRNA from 1 species